rnacentral:rRNA from 1 species
CACAAAAUGACUCUCGGCAACGGAUAUCUCGGCUCUUGCAUCGAUGAAGAACGUAGCGAAAUGCGAUACUUGGUGUGAAUUGCAGAAUCCCGUGAACCAUCGAGUCUUUGAACGCAAGUUGCGCCCGAAGCCGUGAGGCUGAGGGCACGCCUGCCUGGGUGUCACA